AUACCUGCCUUGACGGGGUCAAUGGGUGACCCAUAAGAUUCAUGGCCUAGGUUGGUAACUUUCAUUGCACUUUAGAAGGGCACUAACUUAAGAUCUGCCUAAGUGAUCGAGUCUACGUCAUAAUUUUCUUGAUUUUGUUUACAUAUGUUAAAA